GUGGGAAAAGUCUUAUGGCUUGACUGGUGUUUGCAUUUGUGCUAAGCAAAUUAUCAAGCCCAGUACUGCUGCAAGAAUGUCUGAGCUCCAUCAGCUGAUUGUCUGCACUAAGCAAAGUCUGAUUUCAGAAUUAUCAAGCCCAAUACUGCUGCAAGAAAAUCUGAGCUCCAUCAGCUGAUUGUCUGCACUACGCAAAGGUAGACUUCUGGAAGACCACACUAAG